rnacentral:rRNA from 1 species
UACGGGGGGAGCAAGCGUUGUUCGGAUUUACUGGGCGUAAAGGGCGCGUAGGCGGUCAGCACAAGUCAGUUGUGAAAUCUCCGGGCUUAACUCGGAAAGGUCAACUGAUACUGUGCGACUAGAGUGCAGAAGGGGCAACUGGAAUUCUCGGUGUAGCGGUGAAAUGCGUAGAUAUCGAGAGGAACACCUGCGGCGAAGGCGGGUUGCUGGGCUGACACUGACGCUGAGGAGCGAAAGCGUGGGGAGCGAACAGG